GCUCAUAACAUGCAUGGGUCAUCCUCAAGGGAGAAAAGCAUGGAAGAAAAAUUUGACUAUCUUGUACAACUAUUGGAAACAAUGAACUCAAAGGCAAGGAAUAAAAACUCUGACUUCUGUGAAAGCCCAGCUUCA